AGGAUGAACGCUAGCGACAGGCUAACACAUGCAAGUCGAGGGCAGCAUAGAAGUAGCAAUACUUGGUGGCGACCGGCGCACGGGUGAGUAACGCGUAUGCAACCUACCUAUCAGAGGGGAAUAACCCGGCGAAAGUCGGACUAAUACCGCAUAAAACAGGGGCACCGCAUGGUGAUAUUUGUUAAAGAAAUUCGCUGAUAGAUGGGCAUGCGUUCCAUUAGGUAGUUGGUGAGGUAACGGCUCACCAAGCCGACGAUGGAUAGGGGAACUGAGAGGUUGGUCCCCCACACUGGUACUGAGACACGGACCAGACUCCUACGGGAGGCAGCAGUGAGGAAUAUUGGUCAAUGGGCGGGAGCCUGAACCAGCCAAGUCGCGUGAAGGAAGAAGGAUCUAUGGUUCGUAAACUUCUUUUGCAGGGGAAUAAAGUGCAAGACGUGUCCUGUUUUGUAUGUACCCUGAGAAUAAGGAUCGGCUAACUCCGUGCCAGCCGCCGC
rnacentral:rRNA from 1 species